rnacentral:rRNA from 1 species
GAGACCUCAGGUCAGGCGGGACUACCCGCUGAAUUUAAGCAUAUCAAUAAGCGGAGGAAAAGAAACUAACAAGGAUUCCCUA